rnacentral:rRNA from 1 species
GCUCACUGAAAUUAAAGAGCCGCAGUAUCAUGACUGUGCUAAGGUAGCAUAAUCAUUAGUCUUUUAAUUGGGGACUUGUAUGAAUGGCUAAACGAAGGGUUGGCUUUUUUGGCUUAAGGGAUGCCAAAUUUUAUCUUUUAGUGAGAAAGCUAAAAUGGGCUAAAAAGACGAGAAGACCCUAUAGAGUUUAAAGAGGAAGAAGUUAUUUAGUUAAUUAGAAGUAAAACUGGUGAUUUUCAAUCUUCUUUUUGUUGGGGCGACAUAGAAUUAGGAAAAACUUUUUAUUUAAGAAACUAUAACUAUAGAAUAGGUUUGAUCCGGUGAAGCGAUUAAAGGAAAAAAUUACCUUAGGGAUAACAGCGUAAUCUUUUUUGAGAGUUCGUAUCGACAAAAGGGUUUGCGACCUCGAUGUUGGACUAAAAUAAAGGCAAGGUGCAGUAGUUUUGUUAAUGGGUCUGUUCGACCCGUGGUUUUUUACAUGAUCUGAGUUCAGACCGGCGUGAGCCAGGUUG